CCUACGGGAGGCAGCAGUGAGGAAUCUUGGUCAAUGGGCUUACGCCUGAACCAGCAAAGUCGCGUGAGUGAAGACUGCCCUGUGGGUUGUAAGCCUCUUUUGUCAGGGAGAAAGGCCGGCUACGUGUAGCCGGUCUGAUAGUCCGUGAAGAAAAAGCAUCGGCUAGCUCCGUGCCAGCAGCCGCGGGAAUACAGAGGAUGAGGGUGUGAUCCGGAUUUAUUGGGUGUAAAGGGUGCGUAGGCGGAAUGCCAAGUCAGUGGUAAAAUCGCGGGGCUAAACCGAGCUCCGCCUUUGAAACUGGCGUUGUUGAGUGGGCGAGAAGUAUGCGGAACGCGUGGUGUAGCGGUGAAAUGCAUAGAUAUCACGAAGAACUCCGAUUGCGAAGGCAGCAUACUGGCGCCCAACUGACGCUGAAGCUCGAAAGCGUGGGUAGCGAACAGGAUUAGAUACCCCUGUAGUC
rnacentral:rRNA from 1 species